UGGAGGAAAGGGAGAAUAUAAAAUGCUCUGGUUUUAAUCAGGAAAAGCAAUUUAGUUGCAGUUUUCUGCAUAAUUCUGUUGAAGAAAUAAAUUAUGCAGAGGAAUGUGCUUUUCUCCUGAGGCUAAAAAAAGAACAAGUGGGGCUUGAGGAAAGGCCUGGGACUUACAUGUGUUUGCCAUUUAGCUGCGUUUUUGACAACUCCUCUUAGGCUGAAUGGUUUAUCCUGUAAACCUCAGCUCUGAAAUGGACUCCUAGCAAGGGCAUGCAGCCUGAGAAUCCUCUCAGCUCGAGCUCGGUGCAUUCCCUGACCUGUUGGCUUUGGAUGUCCUGGGGAAUGACUGCGGGAUAUGGGAAACCAGUCAGAAAGAGACGAAGAGCUGAUUACACUUGAGUACAAAGCUUGUCUUGUGCAUCCAAUGGGCUUUGCAGGGAAGUAAAACAUAUUGAGAGGCAAAGCAGUCUUUAUCCUCCAAACUUUGGCUUUUCUUGAUAUAGAUCCAGCCU